AUUUCAAUCUCUUGUUUCAUCUAUCCAGAUGCCUUACUGGAAGCAGAGAGUUCAAGACUCCUCUCUUCUUCCUUUCCAGGAUCUGAUAUCUGUCCUGCUGGAUUUCAGAGAGGUGACAGACCUACAAGUAAAGAUGGAGUAGGUCAUCUGAGUACCGUGAUGACGAUACCAAGGUGGGAGCGCAUCUGCCAUUGUCACCCAGAUGGCCAGGCUGCACAGACAGCUACUUCUUUGCCUGGCAGUUACCCCAGAAAACUUCUUGUUGCAAACAUCAUUGAUGCUAACAGCAUGUCCUCUAGAAGUAUCUUUGGUGAAAUGCCCUCUACCAGGCACAAAGCAAGGACUGCUCAGCCAGGACCUUGCCUUCCACUGCACGAAGCAUUUGAGAACCUUAAGAAAAAGAAGAUGAUGGAAAUCGAUUAAUUCUGAAUAUGGCUAACUGGUUGCAAAAGCUUGUUAUGUUCAAAGGCUUGCAAUUGGGCAUUUAUUACUUCCCAGAUUAUCUGCAUUCCUAGGGCACCAAAACCCUUCAAAAACAUGCUUACAGA